rnacentral:rRNA from 1 species
UACGGGGGAUGCAAGCGUUAUCCGGAAUCAUUGGGCGUAAAGCGCCUGUAGGUUGUUUAAUAAGUCUGUUGUUAAAGACUGGGGCUUAACCCCAGGAAAGCAAUGGAAACUACUAGACUAGAGUAUGGUAGGGGUAAAGGGAAUUUCUAGUGUAGCGGUGAAAUGCAUAGAUAUUAGAAAGAACACCGGUGGCGAAAGCGCUUUACUGGACCAUUACUGACACUCAGAGGCGAAAGCUAGGGUAGCAAAAGGGAUUAGAUACCCCUGUAGUCCUAGCCGUAAACGAUGGAUACUACAUGUUGCGUUUUAACAGUAUGGUAGCUAACGCGUUAAGUAUCCCGCCUGGGGAGUACGGUCGCAAGGCUG